rnacentral:lncRNA from 10 species
UAACAGAAGGUCUGUCCUAAGAUCAGGAUCCAGAUCUAUUUAUUUAUUUUAUUCAGAUAUCAUUCACAUACCAUAAUAUUCACCCUUUUAAAGUGAACAAUUCAGUGGUUUUUAGUAUUUUCACAAAGUCUUGCAACCAUCACUAUUUAAUUCCAGAACAUUUUUGUUAUCUGAAGAAGAAACCCCAUAGCCUGUAGCAGUGACUCCCCAGUCCCUCAUUUCUCCACAAGUCACUGGCAACC